UGUUUGCUAGCAGAAUUGAGGGGAGUGUGGGUUUAUUCAAUUGCCUCAGACUCCUCAGAAGGCAGCCUGCCCUCCGGUCUCUCUUUCUCCGCCUCCUUUUCACACAGAUCACUGGGGGUCGGGGCCUGUUCCCGAGGGAGACAUAUAUCCUCCGCCUCGUCAGAGUUGUGAAAGAAGAAAAAGGAUUCUGCUAGUCCGUGGUAACCCAUAAGGACAGCCUCCCCUCUGAGAUAGUGUUCACGGUGAAGAUGGCUCCAUUCCAUGGUUUCCUGCAUAGGUCAACACCUGUGAGAAGAUCACCACUACCAGGGGACCAGAGAGUGUCCCCCAGGAGCAUGUCAACACUGGCCACAUCCAGCACCUCCAGGUGGAUCCAGACCAGAGUCACGGCACUUUCCUCCUGGACAAACGCCAACGGCAUCACAGAGGUCCAUGACAUCAAGGUCUCUGUGGAUAUCAUCCCGCUCCAUGUCUUUAGAGUGACCCUGGAGGAAGGGUCAUCAGAGGCCCUGACC